rnacentral:rRNA from 1 species
UACGUAGGUGGCAAGCGUUGUCCGGAUUUACUGGGCGUAAAGAGCGCGCAGGCGGUCGGAUAAGUCGAAUGUGAAAGCCCUUGGCUCAACUGAGGAAGUGCAUCCGAAACUGGCAAGCUAGAGUAUGUAAGAGGGUCGCGGAAUUCCCGGUGUAGAGGUGAAAUUCGUAGAUAUCGGGAGGAACACCAGCGGCGAAGGCGGCAAACUGGAUAGGCACUGACACUCAACAACGAAAGCGUGGGGAGCAAACAGG